AGACCUCUGAAUCAGGAAGAUAACCAGGCUCCACAACCAACAAAAUAUGGGCAAGAGACCGAUAGAAAACAAGUAUCGUGAGAGAAAGAUGAAAAGGACUUUGAAAAGAGAGUUAAAGAGUGCUUGAAAUUGUCGAGAGGGAGAUGCGUCUCGGUCGGAUGCAGAACGACUCAAGAUGGUCCGUCACUCGACUUGAGGUGUGAACCAGUGCAGACUGUUGCAUCAACACAAGCACAGGUGGAGUAUUUCCUAUUGGUUUUUCAUUGUGGCGGUCGAGGAAUGAAGCAUGUACCCCUUGGGGUGAGCAACUGUGCACCUGCAUGCUUGUAGUGUUGCUUGGUGGGAUUUCCAUUCGACCGGUAUUGAAACAUGGACCAAGGAGUCUAACAUGUGUGUGAGUCAGUGGAUUUGUAAACCUACGAGGCAUAAGGAAGUUGACGGGUGGGAUCCCCUCUCCAUGGGGUGCAUUGUCGACCAAACUUGAGCUUGUGCGAAGGGAUUGAGUGCGAGCGCACCUGCUGGGACCUGAAAUAUGGUGAACUAUGUCUGAGCAGGGCGAAGCUAGAGGAGACUCUGGCGGAGGUCCGUAGUGAUACUAGCGUGCAAAUCGUUCGUAUGACUUGGGUAUAGGGGCGAAAGACUAAUUGAACCAUCUAGUAGUUGGUUUCCUUUGAAUUUUCCCUUAGAAUAGUUGGAUCUCAUGUGCGAGCUUUAUCGGAUAAAGCAAAUGAUUAGAGGCAUCGGGGGCAUAAUUCCCUCAACCUAUUCUCAAACUUUAAAUAGGUAAGAUGGUGCAGCUGCUCCAUUGAAUCAUGCCACGGAAUC
rnacentral:ncRNA from 1 species